GGCGCAAAGGCGGGCGGGCGGGCGCUGCCUCGCCUCCCGCGACGGUCGGCUCCGCGGCCGGGGCGGAUCGGGCUCGGAGUCGGCUUCGGGCUCGCGCUUCGGCUCGGGCUCGCGGGCUCGCGAGGGCAGCGGCUGUCCGCCGCCCGCGGCCCCGUCCGUCUACACGGCGCUUCCCCGCCUCGCGGCGAUCUUGAGCUCUGAGCCGCUUCUAGGCUGGCUGCUGGGGAAGACCGGCGUGGCAACGGGGAGAAGGGGGGAAGGGAGGGAACGGAAAGAGGUGUAUUUGUGAAUGAAUGAAUGAAUGAAUGAAUGAAUGAAUGAAUGAAUGAGUGAAGGAGUGAACGAAUCAACGGAUCGAUCGAUCAGCCAAGGAAUCGAUGAAGAAAGGAAUGAGAAAGCAGAAGGGAAGCAAAGAGAAGGGCGGGGGAAGAAAGCGAAGGGCUCCAGGAAAGCGCGUAGGCAGGCGCCGUUAGCUGCUGACGGCCGGCAGCUCUCCGAUCGUCGUGGUGGUGAAGUGGACAGGUGAAUCCCCUGCCCUCCCUCUUCUUCCCCCUCGAUCCUCCCCCCCAGCCUCGAUCCGCCAGGUGUAGGCAGGUGCCGUCAAGGCGAGGAGCUGAAGCGGCACAGCCCGUUGGCGAGCGAGCGAGCGGGCGGGCGAGCCCGUGUGCCGGCUGUAGGCGGGACACGGGCGCGCGCCUCCCUUGGAGUGCCGUGCAGAGCGUACGCGGGAGGGCGGAGGCGCGCUUCGCUCCGACGGGCCGCCAGGUCUACCCGCCGCCGGAAAAGCGCUGCCGCCGCCCCCCGAAGGGCCGCCAGCUCAAGCCAGCCUUCGGAAAGGAGCCCGCCUGCCCGCGGCAGCCUCGGCCGGGCCUCGGCAGGGCCGCCAGGUCUACCCAGCCGUCGGCAAAGGAGCCCGUCUGCCCGCGGCAGCCUCGGCCGGGCCUCGGAAGGGACGCCAGGUCUACCCGGGCACGCCAAAGCCAAGCCUAUCUGCCCACGGAAGCCUCGAUCCGGCCGACAGGUCCCCGUAGGAGGCCGCGGGACGGGCGCCCCCCCGGCCGCGUCUUUGUCGCUCGCCUCCCUCGGCGGGGCCGUCCCUCCGCCUUCCCGAACGGCGUCAGGUCUACCCGUGGCGCCCGCGCCGAUGGGGGGGGGGGGGGGGGGGGGCGAGGGGAGGGGAGGGAGAGGGGGGCGGCGCUUCCCACGGGACGGAGCCGCCAGGUCAACCCGGACCCCUCCCGAAAGGGAAGGGGGGGGGGGGCGUAGGGGAAGGAAGGAAAG